rnacentral:lncRNA from 1 species
CAAUAGCAAUCAAGUUGCUUGUUUGGUGACAAAGAAAGAUCCAGUUUCAGCAGUAGUAUAGUUUAAGGCUUUCUAGAGUGAAGCACUUAACCACAGAAUGAAUGUCCUGUGUGCAUGAGCAGGGCCUAUGAAGAUAAGCAGGGCCUAAGAUGAUGAAGAUCUAAUCUUUCAUUGGAAGACACUUGGGUGAUGCUAUAGGAUAAUGAAGAUUUCAUCUUCCGUUGGAGGAUACCUCAGAUGUCCAGAUCUUUAGGUCUUUUCUUUUAGGCUUUGGCUGUAUCUAGCAUAUCUCAAUCCAGAAACUUUCUGGUCCACAUUCUGCACAGUACACUUAACUCAGGUGGCCUGCUGAGGUCCUCAAAGGGGUCCUGUAGCUGAACUGGAAAAUGGAAAAGGCCGAAGCCAUUCUUCUUUCUGAGGUUUUGCAAUGAAAACUGUCCUGUAUUUUGUUGACCUCCCACUGCCAUUGCUUCACCACCAUCUACACCCACACCUCCCCACCCCCAGACACUGGGCUUCAUGUUUCUCUGAGAACAUGGACUUCAAUUCACCAUCUUAAUUCAGAAGUAUAAUGAUUUAAGAAGGCUCAGCUGCAGAUAUGUAAAGAGAGAUUUGCAAAAGCAUAAUCAAGUCAAGUCAUGGCAAGGUCAUAAGAAGCAGUCACAAAAGCAGCAGUAAUUUGAGUGCGAAUGGCAGUUUUCAUCAUGACUAUGCCCGUUCACAGGGACUCUUUGAAACAGAAGUUUGGUUGGAAGCAUUUCCCAUUCUGCUUGUGGCAGGGCAUGAAAGGGGCACAGAGGCUAUGGAUGCAUUGUUCCCCAGGCCCAGGCUCCUUCCUGGCUGUGUGAUGAUGGGCAAGUUGCUGGCCUCUCCAGUUGUGUCUUUGGAAAAUAGAUGUAAUUGCACCUACCUCAUUGGGUU